AUCCCUUUAGUAUAAUAAUUAUAUUUGACUUCCAAUCAAAAGAUCUUAAAAUUAAGAAGGGAUA
rnacentral:tRNA from 1 species